AACGAACGCUGGCGGCAUGCCCAACACAUGCAAGUCGAACGAGACCUUCGGGUCUAGUGGCGCACGGGUGCGUAACGCGUGGGAACCUGCCCUUAGGUUCGGAAUAACUCCCCGAAAGGGGUGCUAAUACCGGAUAAUGUCUUCGGACCAAAGAUUUAUCGCCUUUGGAUGGGCCCGCGUUGGAUUAGCUAGUUGGUAGGGUAAAAGCCUACCAAGGCGACGAUCCAUAGCUGGUCUGAGAGGAUGAUCGGCCACACUGGGACUGAGACACGGCCCAGACUCCUACGGGAGGCAGCAGUGGGGAAUAUUGGACAAUGGGCGAAAGCCUGAUCCAGCAAUGCCGCGUGAGUGAUGAAGGCCUUAGGGUUGUAAAGCUCUUUUACCCGGGAUGAUAAUGACAGUACCGGGAGAAUAAGCUCCGGCUAACUCCGUG
rnacentral:rRNA from 1 species